CCUACGGGGGGCUGCAGUGGGGAAUAUUGGACAAUGGGGGGAACCCUGAUCCAGCCAUGCCGCGUGUGUGAAGAAGGCCCUCGGGUUGUAAAGCACUUUCAGUGAGGAAGAACGCCUGGUGGUUAAUACCCAUCAGGAAAGACAUCACUCACAGAAGAAGCACCGACUAACUCCGUGCCAGCAGCCGCGGUAAUACGGAGGGUGCGAGCGUUAAUCGGAAUUACUGGGCGUAAAGCGCGCGUAGGUGGCUUGAUAAGCCGGUUGUGAAAGCCCCGGGCUCAACCUGGGAACGGCAUCCGGAACUGCCAAGCUAGAGUGCAGGAGAGGAAGGUAGAAUUCCCGGUGUAGCGGUGAAAUGCGUAGAGAUCGGGAGGAAUACCAGUGGCGAAGGCGGCCUUCUGGACUGACACUGACACUGAGGUGCGAAAGCGUGGGUAGCAAACAGGAUUAGAUACCCUAGUAGUC
rnacentral:rRNA from 1 species